rnacentral:rRNA from 1 species
AGGGAAUCUUCCACAAUGGACGCAAGUCUGAUGGAGCAACGCCGCGUGAGUGAAGAAGGGUUUCGGCUCGUAAAGCUCUGUUGUUAAAGAAGAACGUGGGUGAGAGUAACUGUUCACCCAGUGACGGUAUUUAACCAGAAAGCCACGGCUAACUACGUGCCAGCAGCCGCGGUAAUACGUAGGUGGCAAGCGUUAUCCGGAUUUAUUGGGCGUAAAGCGAGCGCAGGCGGUCUUUUAAGUCUAAUGUGAAAGCCUUCGGCUCAACCGAAGAAGUGCAUUGGAAACUGGGAGACUUGAGUGCAGAAGAGGACAGUGGAACUCCAUGUGUAGCGGUGAAAUGCGUAGAUAUAUGGAAGAACACCAGUGGCGAAGGCGGCUGUCUGGUCUGUAACUGACGCUGAGGCUCGAAAGCAUGGGUAGCGAAC